rnacentral:lncRNA from 13 species
CAACGCAGACAAGAACAGAGGGCCUCAGGAGAGGGAAACAAAUAGCUUAUGAAAGAGCUGCAGAUCCAAGGACACAAAUGAAGUCCCCGGUCUUCUAGGUCAGUCUUUCUGCUAAUUGACAAACAAGGUUAAAACAAAUCCCAGCAUCUUAGUAGUGCUCUCUGCUCGGUUUCAGUAGCGGUAGUCCAAGGUAGAAUGGAUUCAGAACUCAGUGUGUUGGGGAGGUGGGGGCCGUGGGCAGGGAUUUGAGGAUUUGAAGGACCCAUCCAGGCGCAUGUGGCCAAUGGUUUGUCCGUAUUUAGAGCCAGCUCUACUUGUCUUAAAAACCAACCCAACCCCAAACCAGAAGCAAGGAGAGACUGGUGGCAAAGGACUCCUGGGCUUCAGCUGCCUUCACCAGUGA